GACAGAGGUGCCGAGCGUUAGGCGGAAUCACUGGGCUUAAAGCGUGUGUAGGCGGAUUUGUAAGUACCUUGUGAAAUCCCACGGCUCAACCGUGGAACUGCUUGGUAUACUGCUUAUCUUGAGCCACUUAGGGGCAGUCGGAACAGACGGUGGAGCGGUGAAAUGCGUAGAUAUCAGGAGGAACACCAAUGGCGAAGGCAGCUCGCUGGGACGUGACUGACGCUGAGACGCGAAAGCGUGGGGAGCAAACAGG
rnacentral:rRNA from 1 species